rnacentral:lncRNA from 10 species
AAACAUAGGCAAAGGAAAACCUCAGAAGCCAAGAGACAAAAUGUCAUCAUAUGCAUUCUUUGUGCAAAUUUGCCAGGAGGAGCACACAGAUGCUUCAGUCGAUUUCUCAGAGUUUUCUAAGAAGCACUCAGAGAAGUGGAAGACCCUCUCUGCUAAAGAGAAAGGAAAAUUUCAAUACAUGGCAACGGCAGACAGGGCCUGUUGUGAAAAGGAAAUGAAAACCUAUAUCCUUCCUAAGAGGGGGAAAAAAAGUUCAAGGAUCCUAAUGUGCCCAAGAGGCCACUUUCAGCCUUUUUCCUGAUUUUGCCCCCAAAUCAAAGCAGAACAUCUCGGCCUAUCCAUCAGUGAUGUUGUAAAGAAACUCGGAGAGAUAGGAAAUAACACUGCUGCAGAUGACAAGCAGACUUACGAAAAGAAGGCCGUGAAGCUGAAAGAAUAAUAUGAAAAGGAUAUUGUUGCACUCUGGGCUAAGGAAAGCCUGAUGUAGCAAAAAAAGGGGUCAUUAAGUCUGAAAAAAGCAAGAAAAAGAAGGAAGAGGAAGAUGAAGAAGAUGAAAAAGAUGAGGAGGAGAAAGAUGAAAAAUUGAAGAUGAAGAAGAUAAUGAUA